rnacentral:lncRNA from 1 species
GGCAAAUUCCUUAAAUCUCAUUAGGUACUUGACACAAAUUUUAUUUAAUGGUCAUGACAACUGUAUAAGUUAGAUAUUACUACCGUUAAUAAGCGAGGAAAUUGAGGCUCCAUGUUUUACCAAAUGAAAACUUGAGUUAUUUGGACACAUUCGUGGGGAAAAUGAGAAACUGAUAUUUCAAUUUUUUCUAUUUGAUUUUGUGUUUACUUCAAUUUACUUCAGGUGAGCAGCCAGAUAAGGAAGGGAAGGAUAACUCAGUGGUGACCAAUGGUCACCCUUAGGUUCACUCUUAAUACAGUAGUUUCCCCUUCUUGGUGGUUUUGCUUUUCAUGGUUUCAUUUAUCCAUGGUUCAAAAAUAUUCAACUGAAAAUUCCAGGAAAAAAUAAUUCAUACGUUUUAAAUUGUCUGUUCUGAGUAGUGCGAUGAAAUCUUGCAUGGACCCAUUCUGUCCCACCUGGGACGUGAGUCAUCUCUUUGUUCAGCAUCUCCACAUUGUUUAUGCUAUAUGCCCGUUAGUCACUGUUUAACUGCUUCGGUGAUCAGAACAACUGCUACGGUACCACAGUGCUUGGGUUCGGUACUAUCCACAGUUUCAGGCAUCCACUGGAGCUCUUGGGACAUAUCCCCAGCAGAUAAGGAGGGACUGCUGUACACACGUUAGAGAAGAAAAUGUUAAAGAAUUCAUCAAGAGGCAAUAGAGUAUAGUAUCAAAGUAUUAAUAGAUACUCUGAGUAUCUGCCUAUGAUGAAGUGGGGGAAAAAUGGUCCUUUAAACAUAGAGAGGGACAUGCUCCAGGCUACAUCUAUCUCAAUAAACAGUAAGUUCAUUUCCUCUGCUCUUCUCCAGUGCUGGAUUCCCUCCCAAAUGCUUUUUAUACUCAAGAAGAAUUGAUUUUAGUUUCUCAACACUCAAGCCAGGACCCACACCGGCUCCCUUGAGGUUGUAGGAGUCAUAAUCACUUCCUGAUGGCAAGUGCACUCUUGCAUGAGACCAUGAUCCUGGUGUGGUCACCAACUGCAAAGGCCUGGUGUUUAUGUGAAACCUAGCUAGUAGAAAACAUACUUCAUUUGCUUCCAUAUUGUUAGCACUACGGUAAGUUUUCCUUGUCUGCUGAACUUUUCCAGGGCUGCCAAUGGUAAAUACCA